CAAUUGAAUCUCAAUUACCGGAGGAAAACAAACCAACGGGGAUUGCCUCAGUAACGGAGAGUGAAGCGGCAAAAGCUCAAAUUUGAAACCCUCGGGAUUGUAAUUUGAAGAUUGGGCAUUGGAGAAAGCUAACCUCAAGUUACUUGGAAUAGUACGUCAUAGAGGGUGACAACCCCGUC
rnacentral:rRNA from 1 species